CUACGGGGUGCUCCAGUGGGGAAUUGUUCGCAAUGGGCGCAAGCCUGACGACGCAACGCCGCGUGGAGGAUGAAGGUCUUCGGAUUGUAAACUCCUGUUGCCCGGGACGAAUGGCUCCAACCUAAUACGUUGGAGUGUGACGGUACCGGGUGAGGAAGCCCCGGCUAACUCUGUGCCAGCAGCCGCGGUAAUACAGAGGGGGCAAGCGUUGUUCGGAAUUACUGGGCGUAAAGGGCGCGUAGGCGGCCUUCUCAGUCAGACGUGAAAUCCCCGGGCUCAACCCGGGAACUGCGUCUGAUACUGGAAGGCUUGAAUCCGGGAGAGGGAUGUGGAAUUCCAGGUGUAGCGGUGAAAUGCGUAGAUAUCUGGAGGAACACCGGUGGCGAAGGCGGCAUCCUGGACCGGUAUUGACGCUGAGGCGCGAAAGCCAGGGGAGCAAACGGGAUUAGAUACCCUUGUAGUC
rnacentral:rRNA from 1 species